CAGUGCUUCUGCAUCAACCCAAUUGAGCAGAGUUGAUCCAGCUGUGCCGAGCGGGACAUCUUCAGGACUGGACACAUCGAGCAUUCCUCAGAACACCUCGGCUAAAACCAGUAGUGCACUACUCAGCUUGUCUGAACCACCCGAUAUUGCGGAUGAUCAAAGCAGUGUGUCAGCAGCAACUAGCGAUUUCCUACCUAGUAUUUGUGAACCACCGAGUUUCGUGGAUGAUGUCAACAGUUUGCUGGCGCCCUUGAAAGUGAUGCCCUGUAAGUAGGCAGACUUCAUGUAUUGCGCAUGCAGUUAUAAUAGCCUUUCGAGCUUAUUACUUUUUCAAGCCGGGAUUGGAGCUCCAUAUUCCUUAAUUAGUCCUGAUAUAUGAGCACUUUGUUCUUACCUUUUCUUUUUCAGUGCAGCGGCCACCUUCAACAGUGGAAAAGAAGGCCAUCGACAUCGCAGUGCCACGUAUUGGCACAAACGAUGUGUGCAAGAAGAUCACGGCAAUGAUUUUGCCGCAUCUGGAGAGUUGCCCUCUAUUUAUAUGCGAGGCAAGAGAAGACCAUGCCUCGGUCACAUCGUCAAUAGUGGCAAAGAAAUUCAUAAAGCCCCUCCUAUGAAACAUUGUUGCUCUUGUUACGGACAGAGUGGCCUAUCGCAAAAAAUUAAUCACUAAGCCGCUCAGUCGAAAGGUUGUGCGCGUUUAAACAGCUCGAGCGCGCGCGAGCUGACAACUUUUUAUUGUAAAUAAAUUCCUGCAUACACUGACUUUGUUAUGCUGGUAAUUUUUACCACGA